rnacentral:rRNA from 1 species
CCUACGGGUGGCAGCAGUGAGGAAUAUUGGUCAAUGGACGGGAGACUGAACCAGCCAAGCCGCGUGAGGGAUGAAGGUACAGAGUAUCGUAAACCUCUUUUGUCAGGGAACAAAGGCGGGGACGUGUCCCCGGAUGAGUGUACCUGAAGAAAAAGCAUCGGCUACCUCAGUGCCAGCAGCCGCGGUAAUACGGAGGAUGCGAGAGUUAUCCGGAUUGAUUGGGUUUAAAGGGUGCGCAGGCGGCCUGUUAAGUCAGCGUGCAAAGCACGGGGCGAAACCCCGGCCCGCCGUUGAAACUGGCAGUCUCGAGUUGGAGAGAAGUAUGCGGAAUGCGCGGUGUAGCGGUGAAAUGCAUAGAUAUCGCGCAGAACUCCGAUUGCGAAGGCAGCAUGCCGGCUCCACACUGACGCUGAGGCACGAAAGCGUGGGUAUCGAACAGGAUUAGAUACCCGAGUAGUC